UACGUAGGGUGCAAGCGUUAAUCGGAAUUACUGGGCGUAAAGCGUGCGCAGGCGGCUUUGCAAGACAGAUGUGAAAAUCCCCGGGCUUACCCUGGGAACUGCAUUUGUGACUGCAUGGCUGGAGUGCGGCAGAGGGGGAUGGAAUUCCGCGUGUAGCAGUGAAAUGCGUAGAGAUGUGGAGGAACACCGAUGGCGAAGGCAGCCUCCUGGGCUAGUACUGACGCUCAUGCACGAAAGCGUGGGGAGCAAACGGG
rnacentral:rRNA from 1 species